UACGGAGGAUCCGAGCGUUAUCCGGAUUUAUUGGGUUUAAAGGGUGCGUAGGCGGCCAAUUAAGUCAGGGGUGAAAUACGGUGGCUCAACCAUCGCAGUGCCUUUGAUACUGAUCGGCUUGAAUCCAUUUGAAGUGGGCGGAAUAAGACAAGUAGCGGUGAAAUGCAUAGAUAUGUCUUAGAACUCCGAUUGCGAAGGCAGCUCACUAAGCUGGUAUUGACGCUGAUGCACGAAAGCGUGGGGAGCAAACAGG
rnacentral:rRNA from 1 species